GCGUAAAGGACGACGGGUGGUGGUAGUGCUAUGGGAGGAGCAGGUAGGGCUAUGGCGGCAUAAAGGUUGUGUAGAAAUCACUCAAGUCUGCUUUUUAUUGUGGAAGCUCGUUGUAUGUGUAAAAUUAUUUAUACUCUUGGUCCCGGCGCACGGAGCCUACAACACACCGAAUGUUCCUGCUGCUGCUUACCAAGCAGGAAAACACCAGAAUAAGUUCAACUUGGGGAAGAGCAUGAAGGUGAUGAACUCGCUCGGCGGCUUGUACCGUGUUUUGUGCUGGAGGAACAUAAAAAUCUCCGUUUCCUCGUUACUUUAUUCUGAUGGUUUAUUUGCCAUAUGUUAGAUUGGCGAGAGGUGGGGUACCAGAAAGAGGCGACGUUAAAAUCGGUGCCAGUGACGACG